rnacentral:miRNA from 1 species
AGGGGCAGAUUUCUGAUCUGGC